ACUCCUACGGGAGGCAGCAGUGGGGAAUAUUGCACAAUGGGCGCAAGCCUGAUGCAGCAACGCCGCGUGAGUGAUGAAGGCCUUCGGGUCGUAAAGCUCUGUCCUCAAGGAAGAAUAAAUGACGGUACUUGAGGAGGAAGCCCCGGCUAACUACGUGCCAGCAGCCGCGGUAAUACGUAGGGGGCAAGCGUUAUCCGGAAUCACUGGGCGUAAAGGGUGCGUAGGCGGUUUUUCAAGUCAGAAGUGAAAGGCUAUGGCUCAACCAUAGUAAGCUUUUGAAACUGUUAAACUUGAGUGCAGGAGAGGAAAGUGGAAUUCCUAGUGUAGAGGUGAAAUUCGUAGAUAUUAGGAGGAACACCAGUGGCGAAGGCGACUUUCUGGACUGUAACUGACGCUGAGGCACGGAAAGCGU
rnacentral:rRNA from 1 species